AGGACCCACGUCUCAUGAUCCGGAUACUGGACCUAACAUAAUUGGGUUCAGUGUCGGAACCCAACAUAAUUGGGUCCGAACACAGGACUCAAGGCUAAUGGGUCUU
rfam:Populus trichocarpa scaffold_17_contig_150, whole genome shotgun sequence.